ensembl:lncRNA
GGAAGCAAAAUGUCACAUACUUACUGCAGGCUUUCCCGUGAUUUUCAAGAGUACUGCCAUCAGAUUCUGUGAAGAGACGCCACAGCAAACCGAACUGUGAAUGGGCGGAGAACAGCAAGGACUCCAGCUUUGACCUGAGGGGAAAAGCACAAUCCUGCCAAGAAUACAAAGAGUGCAGGAUGACAACGACUAUGCUGACCAAUCCCACAUUAAAAGCAUCAGCCUGCUUGCAUGGAUGGAAAAUGGAUUGCCUCUGUGAGAUCAAAACUCCAGUCUCCUGAUGCAAGAGAAAAAGGAAAUGACAUCAUCGAGAGGAUCUGUGGACCCUCAUUACUGUGUCGAGGAAAUAAACAGAGGCUUGUUGCGGCUGCGUUAUCACUCCCUGUCUGUUUGGAGCACAACCAAAAGCUACAAAUCUGCAGAGCUGCCCAGUGGCGGGCGAGCAUGAAAUAACUCAUCAGGUUACGAGUCAUUUUCAAGGGGUGACUGAGUAAAGGUGGCUGUAUUAAGUGUGAAAGGAAUCAGGGCCAAGAGCGCAAUCACUCUCUGAUUGGACUGAUCUGAUUUUUCCUCCGCAAGUGGGGAAAAAAACAUUCUGCAUUUCUGAAGCAGCAUGUCAUUCACCGAAUGAGCAGAACUGCCUUCAAAAUAGGCAAAUCUAACAUAAGAAUGGUGGCAAGACUUUACCAAGUAAGGUAAGCUCCAGUAGUAGUUCAUUUUUAAGUCGGCAUGAAAUGGGAAUUCUGCCUACCUAUUUCCUAAAUGAAUUUUAUUGAAAAUGUUAUAACUCUGUCUUUUGGUGCCAGGGUUUUCAUUUAAUCAUUUAGUCUGCAUAAACUCCACUCUUUUGUUACAAGUGACUGCAUGCUCAUGUUCAAAACUGCCUCCAUCCAAUCAACCACUGGUGAAUAAAAUAAAGUCCUCACCACA